UACGGGGGGGGCAAGCGUUGUUCGGAAUUACUGGGCGUAAAGGGCGCGUAGGCGGUGCUCUAAGUUAGAUGUGAAAACUCUGGGCUCAACCCAGAGCCUGCAUCUAAAACUGGAGUGCUAGAGUUCUGGAGGGGGUAGCGGAAUUCCUGGUGUAGCGGUGAAAUGCGCAGAUAUCAGGAGGAACACCGGUGGCGAAGGCGGGUCUCUGGGCCGAUACUGACGCUGAGGAGCGAAAGCGUGGGGAGCGAACAGG
rnacentral:rRNA from 1 species